UACAGACUCAUAUAUCGAUUAUCGAACAUCAAGAAACAUCUAGACCUCGACGCUCACUUCAGAAUAGUCAAAUUUUCCUAGUACAAUGAUGAGAGGGUACAAAAUGAAACUGGUAACAAAAUUCCAUACAUUUAACACAAUACAUGGAUGAUAAUGGAUGCUCCAUUUCCCUGAUGACCUUGUAAGAAGAAACACAGUAGUUAUCUCAGACAACCCUGGACUGCACCACACUGCAGAAGCCGGUUGUUGCAAUGUCCAAUGGCUUAAGAAUGUCUACUUCUAUCCCAGCUCCAUAAACAGGUUGCCUAUACUUGUUUAUAGAAUAGAACGUAAGCUUGAUCAUGCAGCACUCUGUUGGUGGUGACAGCAGUAACAGAGGCAUCAUCAAACCGCAACCACUUCCCACUCUGGUGACGACAAUCAGCAGUGUAAUGCCCCUUAGAAGCUUCCCUACCGUGGUGGGUGAUUGUGGACACAAGUUGAUAUUGUCGACCCUCAGUAGUCGAAGAAGCAAGCAAAUCACGGCUUAUCACUAGUUCCAGAGGAAAAUGCACCGGUUUAAGCAAUUUGGUACUUCCAUAGCUUCCAUAACCAAACCGCUUCAGGUGCAAAAUCAUCAUCUUAGGCAGUGUCUGUAUGCUUAUGGAUUUCCUAGCAGUAGACACUCCAACCUUUCCUGCGGCAGUUCUAUAUCCCUCAAGUGUCUCGGGGGCAGAAAAUAGGCGGAGAGCAUCUUGAAUGUUAUGAACAGCUUCGUGUGAAAUGUCAAGAUGGACCACCAAAAAUGGUUGAACUGUCGCAGAGGCUUUGUUCCCUCUCGCUUUAACAAGGCUCUUCAACUGCCCCCCAAAAAUGGCACUCAAAUUUGAAGGAACGAAGUCCUGAGUUCUUGUGACUGCAGAUUUGUUCUUUGGCCCAACAGUUUCCCAUUCCUCAUCGUCUUCCGAUGAAACAACAGAAGAAUUUUUCCCACUUGAACAUGAUUGCCCUUCAAGCUUUAGUAAUUCACCAUGCAUCUGAUCCAUUACAAAACUCAGGAACUCCUGUGCAUCUUCUUGUCUUGGUCUGCCAGAAAUGGACUUAGGCACAUCAGGAGUAAAUUUCUUCAGAACUGCGUCAAACAUUGCUGGGCUGAAGGGAGUACCAACUUCAACACUGGUUGCAUCUUUCUUCAUUGAACUUGUAGGACUAGGUACAACAAACUGAGAAAGAAACCCCACAAAUGCAGCUAAUGUUGGAUACUCAGCCUUGGAAAUACUGAGUAUCCUUAGCUUUAGCAAAAGCUCAACAAAAGGAGAACAGGACAAAAGAGCUUGUAAUGUAGCAUUAAGGAAGCAUAAGUUCCCUGGGUUGAUUAAACCACGAGGUAGCAAGCCCGCAACAUCAAGAGGACCACUAGAUACCUCUGGGAGGGCCUCUUCUGAAUGUAAAAUUUUUGCUGAAUUGCUAGUGGUCCCAUUCAAUUUUCCUUUACUGAGUAGUGCAUCAUCAUCUCGUCCAGUAGUUCUAGACAACUUGUUGAUGGCUUUAGCCUCAUCUUCCAACACACAUAAAUUGCUCAAGUCAAUAUUGUGUGCCAUUGCAGAUUCUUCAUGUCCAUUGAUGUAGUAAUCAUUGUGGACAUCUCCAUUCUGA
rnacentral:misc_RNA from 1 species